rnacentral:tRNA from 1 species
AAAUGAUAAAGCAUUUAGAUGUAAUUGGAUUUAAGCUCCAUUGAAAUUUCUAUCAUUUA